CAUCAUGACAUUCGAUUUUGUUUCUGCAGGAUGAUAAAUCAGUUGCCUGCUUUCUUCUUCACUGUCAAAAAUUCAUUGAAUUGGUUCGGGUUGGAGCGCUAGAGGAAGCUGUGAAGUAUGGAAGGAUUGAGUUGGCAAAGUUUUUUGGAUUGUCUAGGUUUGAAGAUUUAGUGCAGGAUUGUGUAGCAUUGCUGGCAUAUGAACAACCACAAGAAUCUUCUGUUGGAUAUCUUCUUGAAGAAUCACAGCGAGAAGUUGUGGCUGAUAUUGUUAACGCCAUGAUCUUGUCAACAAAUCCAAACAUGAGGGAUUUGCAUGGUUGCUUGCACUCGUAUCUUGAGAGGUUACUCAGGCAAUUAACUGCAUGCUGUCUGGAGAGAAGAUCCUUGAAUGGCGAUCAAGGGGAAGCAUUCCACCUGCACCGAGUGCUUAACUACACUAAGAAGCUAAGAAGUUAGCUGAAAUGUAAAUUGGCCCUAUUCAUCCCUGUUCAGAUGGCAAAACUGAUGUUUCAUGCGAGCGAUCAGAUUGGUUUAAGGAUCUGGUAUAUCCAAUAGAGGCCUUAAAGGUUUCCCUGAGAAGAUAGGGCUCGCAGGUUAUAUCAAUGUAAGCUUUAACCACACAGACCUUACUCUGAAUACAAAAGUUUUCUUUGCAUUUUUUGCAACGAAAAUUCUUGAAGGGAGAAGGUUUUUUGUGUAUGCAAGAUUGUGGGGGUUCAGGGAUUUUCCAAUGUGCUAUUUCUGAGCAUCGAAUUCUAAUGAUUCAUAUGAGAACUCUUGGAUGUAAAUGGAUGCUUCUACCAACUGAACCAGCUAUUACUUGGGACAUUGAAAUUGAUUACCCAAUUGUUCGUUAAAUUCA